rnacentral:rRNA from 1 species
UAGGUGUAAGAGGCGAACCCGGGGAACUGAAACAUCUAAGUACCCGGAGGAAAAGAAAUCAACCGAGAUUCCCUUAGUAGCGGCGAGCGAACGGGGAUCAGCCAUCAUAUGAUAGCUUCUGUGUUAGUGGAACGCUCUGGAAAGUGCGGCAAUAAAGGGUGAUAGCCCCGUACACGAAAACGCAGUUGUGGUACUAGGUAUGUAAUAAGUAGGUCGGGACACGUGUUAUCUUGACUGAAGAUGGGGGGACCAUCCUCCAAGGCUAAAUACUCCUAACUGACCGAUAGUGAACCAGUACCGUGAGGGAAAGGCGAAAAGAACCCCGUAGAGGGGAGUGAAAUAGAUCCUGAAAUCGUGUGCGUACAAGCAGUAGGAGCUCUUCGGAGUGACUGCGUACCUUUUGUAUAAUGGGUCAGCGACUUAUUGUCAGUAGCAAGGUUAACCGUUUAGGGGAGCCGUAGGGAAACCGAGUCUUAAUAGGGCGUCUAGUUGCUGGCAAUAGACCCGAAACCGGGCGAUCUAGCCAUGGGCAGGUUGAAGAUUAGGUAACACUGAUUGGAGGACCGAACCCACUAACGUUGAAAAGUUAGGGGAUGACCUGUGGCUAGGAGUGAAAGGCUAAUCAAGCCCGGAGAUAGCUGGUUCUCCCCGAAAUCUAUUUAGGUAGAGCGUCAUGUCUCACUCCUGGG